CUGAUUAAAUCAACAUGCUAGACAGUUGCAUUACAUAAUCAUGUGCAUCUUGGUAACAGCAGCGAAUGCCACCACAAGCCCCAAGAAAAGUGUGGUAGAACUGUGGAGACAGGUACCAAAGAACCACUAGAGUUUUUUUCUGGAGAGGUAAUGUUUGUUUUGUUUUGUUUUACACAUGCCCGGAACAGUAUGCUUAGAGAUGUACAGGGAAUGCUUCAAAUACCCCAUGGUCUGUACUCUUAGCCUAACGUGAUGCGUUCAAAUCAAGCCCAGGAAAGGGAAUAGGCUGUCCCUGCAAAACACGAAGGUCUUUUUCCUUGUUUAAGGAACGUUGCUCACUAGUUCAUUGUGGUCAGUAAUCAUCACUGCUUGUUGCGUGGGGACGUGGGCCAAUUGCCCUUUAUAGACUGGUUACUCUGGAGAAUAAAACGGGUAUCGAUAGUUUUGGUGUGUUUAUUCCCUGAUCCCCUUCAACCUUGCAAGCAGUGUUUUAAAGCCUCAAUGCAUCCCUGUAUUCUUCUUGUUUGCUUUGACUACCAGGCAAAUGCUUUAGUUAAACAUUCCCAGAGAUGGUUUCUAAUCCAGGGUUUCUCUUCUUUCCAUGAGGCCAUAUUUUCCAUCAGGCCAGUUAGUUGAAUGGGGUGGCUGUACUGACUCCCUUCUGACUGAGUGUUCACCCUCUCUCAACCAUCCCUUCUCUGUUUUGUUAGUUUUUAUUUUUUUUCCCCUGUACUGCAGUCUUUAAACAAGCAAACAAGCAGUUCCCCAAAGCUCUGAAAGAUGCUUCUGAUACAAGAUGCAGUGUAAUGAUUAGAGCUCUCCGCAGUAUCACGAGCCACAAAUUGUGGCAGUCACGGAACCAGCUGCCUGGCUGUUUAGAGAACAGCUUUUUGCCAGGUCUCCUUCACAGCCUUGCAGAGUUUGCUGUUUAAGAAAUGCUGUUUUUCCCUUUUGUGUUUAGGAAUUCAGGCCUAGAAGGUAGCAGUAAUUUGAGGGCCCUAACCCACGCCUACAGAGGGUUUUUGUUGGUUUGUGUGUGUGUGUGUAUUUUAUUUCCUUUGGUGUGUGUGUGGUUGUGCUUUUUUAGGCUUUUUUUUUUUUUUCUCCUCCAGAAAACAUUUCUGGAGCUGCAAGCCAUAAGCACAAUUAAUUGCAUGACUAAGAUAUUUGGUGGUUGGAAUCUGUGGAUGAUUGCAGAUCUCCAGUUUGCCAUCCUCUUCUGGACAUGGAGCAGAAGGCAGAUGUAUCACAUCUGGAACUGA
rnacentral:lncRNA from 1 species